UUCGUGCUGCAGUCAGAGCUGCAAAACCCAACCCUCGUCCGGCCCUCGCAGGGACGAGGUUGAGGUGCGGGCUGCCUUAGGAAACUGCUCCCUGAGCGGGACCUGAAUGGCGCUCGAGGAGGAUCACCGGGGCUGGCACAGCCGUGCUCCUUGGUUUCCUGGACAGGUCUGUCUGCCCAGCACAAACUACUGGUGCACAUUUUCUGCAAGAGACGGCAUAUGUAACGUUGGUCAAACCAGGCAUGUCAGCAUCUCAGAUGCUGUGGAUCGAGCUGCAUAUCGUGUGCACAGGCGCACCUCAGAAAUGUGUAAACGGAUUUCUCCAAGGAAGAUUUGGAACUGCAGAGUCCGUGGAAUGUGACUGUGAUUCACACAGUAAAUGCUGCUGCAAUAAACCUGCACAAUGACCUUA